rnacentral:rRNA from 1 species
UACGUAGGGUGCAAGCGUUAUCCGGAAUUAUUGGGCGUAAAGAGCUCGUAGGCGGUUUGUCACGUCUGCUGUGAAAACUGGAGGCUCAACCUCCAGCCUGCAGUGGGUACGGGCAGACUAGAGUGCGGUAGGGGAGAUUGGAAUUCCUGGUGUAGCGGUGGAAUGCGCAGAUAUCAGGAAGAACACCCGUGGCGAAGGCGGCUCUCUGGGACGGUACUAACGCUGAGACGCGAAAGCGUGGGGAGCGAACAGG